GAUGAACGCUGGCGGCGUGCCUAAUACAUGCCAGUCGAGCGAACGGACGAGAAGCUUGCUUCUCUGAUGUUAGCGGCGGACGGGUGAGUAACACGUGGAUAACCUACCUAUAAGACUGGGGUAACUUCGGGAAACCGGAGCUAAUACCGGAUAAUAUUUUGAACCGCAUGGUUCAAAAGUGAAAGACGGUCUUGCUGUCACUUAUAGAUGGAUCCGCGCUGCAUUAGCUAGUUGGUAAGGUAACGGCUUACCAAGGCAACGAUGCAUAGCCGACCUGAGAGGGUGAUCGGCCACACUGGAACUGAGACACGGUCCAGACUCCUACGGGAGGCAGCAGUAGGGAAUCGUCCGCAAUGGGCGAAAGCCUGACGGAGCAACGCCGCGUGAGUGAUGAAGGUCUUCGGAGCGUAAAACUCUGUUAUUAGGGAAGAACAUAUGUGUAAGUAACUGUGCACAUCGUGACGGUACCUAAUCAGAAAGCCACGGCUAACUACGUG
rnacentral:rRNA from 1 species